AGCGAACGCUGGCGGCAGGCCUAACACAUGCAAGUCGAACGAACUCUUCGGAGUUAGUGGCGGACGGGUGAGUAACACGUGGGAACGUGCCUUUAGGUUCGGAAUAACUCAGGGAAACUUGUGCUAAUACCGAAUGUGCCCUUCGGGGGAAAGAUUUAUCGCCUUUAGAGCGGCCCGCGUCUGAUUAGCUAGUUGGUGAGGUAAAGGCUCACCAAGGCGACGAUCAGUAGCUGAUCUGAGAGGAUGAUCAGCCACAUUGGGACUGAGACACGGCCCAAACUCCUACGGGGGGCAGCAGUGGUGAAUCUUGCGCAAUGGGCGAAAGCCUGACGCAGCCAUGCCGCGUGAAUGAUGAAGGUCUUAGGAUUGUAAAAUUCUUUCACCGGGGACGAUAAUGACGGUACCCGGAGAAGAAGCCCCGGCUAACUUCGUGCCAGCCGCCGCCGUAA
rnacentral:rRNA from 1 species